ensembl:lncRNA
CACAGGCAGGGGGUGAGGGCGGCUCUGCCCACCCUGGCCCCGAGGGGACGAAGCCAGCGCCCCCAGCCCCGCGGCGCCUGCUCAGGCCGCCCGGCCGGGGGUGUGGCUCAUUGUGUCUGCCGGGGGAAGGGGCGGGCGAUGCUCCGGCUCGGGCCGCAGGGAGAGGGCGCAGCGGCGGCGGGAGCAUGAGGCCGGCGUGAGCGGGAUCCCAGCCCCGGGGAUCAAUGGUGCAGGACGGCAGCAUGUCCAGGACGCCGUGCAGCUCCAGCCAGGACAUCCAGAUGGACGUGUUCGAGCACCCGGGCCUGCAGGGGAAAUACGGCAAGCGGAAGAGUCGUUUCAAACGCUCGGAUGGCAGCACCUCCUCAGACACAACUUCCAACAGCUUCGUGAGACAGGUACAAGCAGUGGGCAGGGGUUUGACUAGCUUUGGUGUGCCUUUUCUGAGUAGCACUGGCAUGGAGCCCCAGGGGUACUUGUGUGAAAGGUUCUCUCCAGGGGACUUGACAUGUUUUUCAUCCUUGAUCUGGCAGCAGGUGGUGAUGGCAGGUUGCUGGAAUACAGCAGCAGCAGGCAAGGGGGACAGCUCACCCCUGGCUGGCCAUCCCCAGUGACUAUAAUAACCUCCUAUCUAGUCCCAGCUCAAGAAAUUACUGCUUAGCAGGGCUUUGGUUCCUGCUCAGACCCAUCCCACUGUGUCUCCAAACUCUCAUGUUUUGCAAAGAGCAGAGCCUGGACCCCUUUGUGUUAAAGCAACAAGAAAAGACCAAAGUGAAGUGUCCAUGGGAGAGUGUGUGGGGUGCGUGACACCCUUUGUAACCCUGAGACCAAACCCAGUGCCCAUCUCUGCCUGUGCAGUACAAAUUUUAAAGCUGCAGGACACUGAAUCCAAAAUGUCCCUUCUGAGACUCUGCAGUUUGGGUUUAAAUGACUGGGGUACUUCAAGCGCAAAAAUGACUUCUUAGCAACCAGUCCAUAUAUAGUCCCCUCUGGGUGUGAGUGGUGUGAGCACAGAACUGGAGUCCUGUGAGCCCUGCCUCGUGGGAAUCGGUGUAGCUGGGUGACGAUGUUGUUCCCUGGCCAUCAUUGGGGGCACAACACUGGCAAGACCUCAUCUGCUUUGGUUCUGUGGCCCCAGGGAAAGCCUCAAGCCAGCUCCUUCCAGGCUGCAUCUGGGAGCAGGGAAAGGUUGCAAGAGCUUCAGGAGGGCAGGGAUCAAAGCUUGAAGGCCUCUUUUUAUUCUGGAUCCACUCUGAGCUUUGUUGUUGCCCGUGGCAACACUGCUUAGUUGUAACCACGUCACUGCUGUGGAUGUGGGUUGCUCCAUGCAGUGGUGCAUGCUGCUAGGGUGAGCUGGACUUGGUGGGGGCGGUGCUGGGGUUGGUGGUGCUGGCAGGGGCAUUGCUGGAGCCUCUCUCAGCAGCCCAGCACAGCUCUGCCAUGGCUUCUUGGGGCUACUUCUCCUAUUGGGUUGUUUGAGCUCUGUCAGCAAUCCUGCCCCAUCCCUAAAAGCUGAGGUCUCCUUGCCCAGCCCGUGCCCCUUGCUGGGAGAGGCCAGAGUGGAGCAGCACUGGUCUUUCUGCUCCCCCCUACCAACUUCUUCAGAGCUGUUGC